CAGCAUCCGCGGGAAUACGUAGGGUGCAAGCGUUAAUCGGAAUUACUGGGCGUAAAGCGUGCGCAGGCGGUGAUGUAAGACAGUUGUGAAAUCCCCGGGCUCAACCUGGGAACUGCAUCUGUGACUGCAUCGCUGGAGUGCGGCAGAGGGGGAUGGAAUUCCGCGUGUAGCAGUGAAAUGCGUAGAUAUGCGGAGGAACACCGAUGGCGAAGGCAAUCCCCUGGGCCUGCACUGACGCUCAUGCACGAAAGCGUGGGGAGCAAACAGGAUUAGAUACCCCCGUAGUCCCUGUCUCUUAUAC
rnacentral:rRNA from 1 species